rnacentral:rRNA from 1 species
AAACAAACCUGGAAAUAGCUGGCUCUCCCCGAAAUGCCUUUAGGGACAGCCUCAUACAAAGCUUUAGGAGGUAAAGCACUGGCUGGUCUAGGGGGUGUCAAAGCCUACCGAAACCAAUCAAACUCUGAAUGCCUAAAGCCAACGUAUGGGAGUGAGACUGUGUGCGCCAAGGUUCAUAGUCGAGAGGGAAACAGCCCGGACCGGCAUCUAAGGUCCCUAAAUAAUGCUAAGUGUAAAAUGAAGUGCGGAUGCACAGACAGCCAGGAGGUUGGCUUAGAAGCAGCCAUUCCUUAAAAGAGUGCGUAACAGCUCACUGGUCGAGCAUCCGUGCGCAGACAAUGUAACGGGGCUUAAGCAUUAUACCGAAGAUCCGGAAUCAUGCCGUAAGGUAUGAUUGGUAGGGGAGCAUUCCAUUAACUGAAGAAGAAGUACCUGUGAGGGGCUUUGGAGGAGAUGGAAGAGAGAAUGCAGGCAUAAGUAACGAAAAGACGGGUGAGAUUCCCGUCCGCCGAAAACCUAAGGUUUCCAGGGUAAAGGCAAUCUGCCCUGGGUAAGUCGGCCCCUAAGGCCAGGGAGAAAUCCGUAGCCGAUGGGAAUCCGGUUCAUAAUCCGGAACCUGGUUUAUUUUGAAGCCGUGACGCAUGAGGUGAAAUCCGGCCGGAGAACGGUAGUUCCGGUCUAAGCCGUAAGUUGUUGAAGAAGGGGUUAAAUGACUUUCUGAGACGAGCGGUGAAAGCGAGGGGAGAGAAAGUCGAACUGAAGCGGACGUAAUCAUGGUGACGAGAAAGAGCGGCUAGGUGUGGUAGAUUGGACCGUACCGUAAACGGACACACGUAGGUGGGAUGAGAAAUCUAAGGCGCACGAGCGACCUCGCGUUAAGGAACUCGGCAAAAUGCACACGUAACUUCGGAAGAAGUGUGGCUCCUGUUUGAAAGGAUAAGGAGCGGCAGAAAGCAGGCCCAGGCGACUGUUUAUCAAAAACACAGCCAUCUGCGAACCAGCAAUGGGACGUAUAGGUGGUGACACCUGCCCGGUGCCGGAAGGUUAAGGGGAGAGGUUAGCAGCAAUGUGAAGCUUUGAAUUGAAGCCCCGGUAAACGGCGGCCGUAACUAUAACGGUCCUAAGGUAGCGAAAUUCCUUGUCGGGUAAGUUCCGACCCGCACGAAUGGUGUAACGAUUCUGGGCACUGUCUCAACGCGAGACUCGGUGAAAUUUAUAUUCCGGUAAAGAAGCCGGAUACCCAUAAUUAGACGGUAAGACCCCGUGAACCUUCACCGUAACUUAGCAUGGGGAUCUUAUUCAUCAUGUGUAGGAUAGCUGGGAGGCAGUGAAGCGUGGGCGUCAGCUUGCGCGGAGCCAAUGGUGAAAUACCAGCCUUGAUGAAUGGGAUUUCUAACCCGCUCCUUGAAGCAGGGGCAGGGGACAAUGCUAGGCAGGCGGUUUGACUGGGGCGGUCGCCUCCUAAAAUGUAACGGAGGCGCGCGAAGGUCUCCUCACCGUGGUUGGAAAUCACGGCGCGAGUGUAAAGGCACAAGGAGGCUUGACUGCGAGAAAGACAUUUCGAGCAGGUGCGAAAGCAGGUCUUAGUGAUCUGGCGAUACCGAGUGGAAGGGUCGUCACUUAACGGACAAAAGGUACUCCGGGGAUAACAGGCUGAUUUUCCCCAAGAGUUCACAUCGACGGGAAAGUUUGGCACCUCGAUGUCGGCUCAUCGCAUCCUGGGGCUGGAGCAGGUCCCAAGGGUUUGGCUGUUCGCCAAUUAAAGCGGUACGUGAGCUGGGUUCAGAACGUCGCGAGACAGUUCGGUCCCUAUCUGUUAUGGGCGUUGGAAGUUUGAGAGGGGCUGCUUUUAGUACGAGAGGACCGAAGUGGACGAACCUCUGGUAUACCGGUUAUCCUGCCAAGGGUAAGUGCCGGGUGGCUAAGUUCGGAAGGGAUAACCGCUGAAAGCAUCUAAGCGGGAAGCCCGCCUCAAGAUAAGACUUCCCUGGGACUUUAAGUUCCCUAAAGACUCCGGAGACACUAUCCGGUUGAUAGGCCGCAGGUGCAGGUACGGCGACGUAUACAGCCGAGCGGUACUAAUAAGUCGUGAGGCUUGACCAU